GAUGAACGCUGGCGGCGUGCUUAACACAUGCAAGUCGAACGGAAAGGCUCCUGCUUGCAGGGGUACUCGAGUGGCGAACGGGUGAGUAACACGUGGGUGAUCUGCCCUGCACUUCGGGAUAAGCCUGGGAAACUGGGUCUAAUACCGGAUAGGACGAUGGUUUGGAUGCCAUUGUGGAAAGUUUUUCGGUGUGGGAUGAGCUCGCGGCCUAUCAGCUUGUUGGUGGGGUAAUGGCCUACCAAGGCGUCGACGGGUAGCCGGCCUGAGAGGGUGUACGGCCACAUUGGGACUGAGAUACGGCCCAGACUCAUACGGGAGGCAGCAGUGGGGAAUAUUGCACAAUGGGCGCAAGCCUGAUGCAGCGACGCCGCGUGGGGGAUGACGGCCUUCGGGUUGUAAACUCCUUUCGCUAGGGACGAAGCGCAAGUGACGGUACCUGGAGAAGAAGCACCGGCUAACUACGUG
rnacentral:rRNA from 1 species